rnacentral:rRNA from 1 species
GACGAACGCUGGCGGCGUGCUUAACACAUGCAAGUCGAACGGAAAGGUCUGCUUUCCCUUGUGGAUUGCGUGUGCUCGAGUGGCGAACUGGUGAGUAACACGUGAGUCAUCUGCCCCCAACUUGGGUAUAAGCCUGGGAGACUAGGUCUAAUUCCCUAUAGGACUGCAUGGUUGAGCCUGUGAUGGAAAACUUUUUUCUAGUGGUUGGUGAUGCGCUCGCGGCCUAUCAGGUUGGUGGAGGGGUGAUCGCCUACCAAGGCGGCGACGGGUAGCCGGCCUGGGAGCGGGGACGGUGAAACUGGGACUGGGACCAGGCCCCGACUCGUACGGGAGGUAGGAGUGGGGACUAUUGGACAAUGGGCCGAAGGCUGAUGCAGCGACGGCGUGUGGGGGAUGAUGGCCUUCGGGUUGUAUACUACUUUCGAAGGAGAGGAAUGUAAGUGGUUGGGAGGGUCGUGACGGUAGUGGUAGAAGAAGCCACGGCUAACUACGUG